rfam:Toxocara canis scaffold882, whole genome shotgun sequence.
GCGGCAAUAGCUCAGUGGUUGAGCCCCCGCUUGGUGUGCGGGGAGACCCGGGCUCGAUUCCCGGUUACUUCC